UGGGAUUAAGGGCAUGGGCCAGCCACCACAGC
rnacentral:piRNA from 1 species